GCAAAUGUGGCAUAGUGGUUUGAGUGUGGGACUACUACUCUGGAGACCAGGGUUAGAUUCCUUGUUUUGGUG